GGCACUAUGGCCGAGUGGUUAAGGCGAAAGACUCGAACUAAAUUUGAGAGAUCUUUUGGGCUCUGCCCGCGCUGGUUCAAAUCCUGCUGGUGUCG
rfam:Lachancea thermotolerans CBS 6340 chromosome A complete sequence.